rnacentral:rRNA from 1 species
AUUGAACGCUGGCGGAAUGCUUUACACAUGCAAGUCGAACGGUAGAGGGGGCAACCCCUCGAGAGUGGCGAACGGGUGAGUAAUAUAUCGGAACGUGCCCAGUCGUGGGGGAUAACGUAGCGAAAGUUACGCUAAUACCGCAUACGAUCUAAGGAUGAAAGCGGGGGAUCGCAAGACCUCGCGCGAUUGGAGCGGCCGAUGUCAGAUUAGGUAGUUGGUGGGGUAAAGGCUCACCAAGCCAACGAUCUGUAGCUGGUCUGAGAGGACGACCAGCCACACUGGAACUGAGACACGGUCCAGACUCCUACGGGAGGCAGCAGUGGGGAAUUUUGGACAAUGGACGCAAGUCUGAUCCAGCCAUUCCGCGUGCAGGAUGAAGGCCCUCGGGUUGUAAACUGCUUUUGUACGGAACGAAAAGGUCUCUCUUAAUACGGGGGGCUCAUGACGGCACCGUAAGAAUAAGCACCGGCUAACUACGUGCCAGCCGCCGCAGUAA